CUCUGAAACUCUCUCUUUCUCUCUCACACGGUCUCUCUGUUUUGUCUCUGUCUCUGCACAGACCUAAAACCAAAAACCCUAAGCUCCCCCCAAAAUCGAAAAUGUCGAAGCUCCUCAUAUUCCUAACCCUAAUUCCUCUCCUCCCAAUUCUCACCACCUCCUUCUCUCCCGAAAACCCUUCGAGUCGCCGAGUCCUCGUCUUGCUCGACGACCUCGCCCUCAAAUCCUCGCACUCCGUCUUCUUCAACUCCCUCCAGUCUCGUGGAUUCCACCUCAAUUUCAAUAUCAAUUGAGACGAAUGGAGGUUUUGGAGGAUCCAUUGAUUUGGUGGCUAUACUGGAUUUUGUUGAUUCGGGUCAUGAUUUGAUUAUUGCGGCCAAUCUGAUUUGAUCAGAGAAAUUGCCACUGAGAGGGGAGCUGAUUUUGAUGAGGUGCGUAUUAGUAUGUAAACAUUUUGAUCACCCAAUAUAUGUUCAAUUUCUAUA